UACGUAGGUGGCAAGCGUUGUCCGGAUUUACUGGGUGUAAAGGGAGCGCAUGCGGGACGGCAAGUUGGAUGUGAAAAACUGAGGCUCAACCUCAGUCCUGCAUCCAAAACUGUUGUUCUUGAGUGGAGCAGAGGUAAGCGGAAUUCCGAGUGUAGCGGUGAAAUGCGUAGAUAUUCGGAGGAACACCAGUGGCGAAGGCGGCUUACUGGACUCUAACUGACGCUGAGGCUGGAAAGCGUGGGGAGCAAACAGGAUUAGAUA
rnacentral:rRNA from 1 species